UAGGUGUGUUAUUUCGGCAGUUUGCACGACUUCGGUAGAAUUUUGUUUCUCCGUAAAUCGUCAGAGUUACUUCUGAUGUUGAGCAGCUAUUGGAUUUGUCCCCUGCAGGGUUGUCUCCCAUUUUAUAUGGUGUUGAUCUAAAAUUCCCCACAGAGUUUGUAGCAGUUUCCUCAGCAGAUCCUCUCCUUGUGCUUUACCCAGCCAGGAUUG
rnacentral:lncRNA from 1 species